GUUAAUAGAAUUUCUACUUUGAAUAAUAUGAUACAUCUCGAGAAACAGCCUAUCUUUGUAAUUUGUUAACGAUUCUAAUAUUUUUACGUUUUCAUAAUCAAACUGGUGGCCUGUUUGUAUAAAAUGUUCGACAACAGCGCAUGUGUUGUUUUUUCUUUUGCAGUCACUUUUAUGUUGACUAAUGCGCUGUUUUAACCACUGACUUGUUUGUCCAAUAUAACAUCCCUGGCAACCUAAACACUGUAAUUGAUAUAUAACAUUGCUGUUAUACAUGACUGGUGUCCUAUCUUUAAUUUUAGAAAAUAUGGUUUUUGAUUUUAGGUUGCUGUAUUUGCUAAUUUUUAUAUUUGGGUAGUCUUUAAACAGGGAAGUUAGUUGAUUAGUUAAAUUUGGAAUAUACGGAAGUUUUUUAUAUUUAAUAUCUUGUGGAGGAUGAUCUAAUUGUCCAUCAUAAAAUCGUGUGUUGAAUAUUAGUUGUUUUAAGAUAGAUUUAGGAUAACCGUUAUUUAGAAACAAUUGCAAUAAUUUGUUUUUGUUUUGGUAUAAAAAUUGUUCAUCACUGAUUUGUUCUAAUCUAUUUUUCUUGGCAAUAACGGUAUUAAACUUUUGACUUUUAGGAUGAUUAGAUGCAAAAUUUAAAAACCUUCCUGAUGUUGUAGGCUUUUGAUACCA
rnacentral:lncRNA from 1 species